UAGUCAUAUGCUUGUCUCAAAGAUUAAGCCAUGCAUGUCUAAGUAUAAAUAACUACACAGUAAAACUGCGAAUGGCUCAUUAAAACAGUUAUAGUUUAUUUGAUACAUUAAAUGGAUAACUGUAGAAAAACUAGAGCUAAUACAUGCCAAGACCGCAAGGUUGUAUUUAUUAGAUAUACCAAGUGGGUGAAUCAUAAUAACUUCGCAAAUCGCGGCCACGCCGCGAUAAAUCAUUCAAGUUUCUGCCCUAUCAUGCUUUCGAUGGUAGUGUAUUGGA
rnacentral:rRNA from 1 species